rnacentral:rRNA from 1 species
UACGAAGGGGGCUAGCGUUGUUCGGAAUCACUGGGCGUAAAGGGCGCGUAGGCGGCCGAUCAAGUCGGGGGUGAAAGCCUGUGGCUCAACCGACAGAAUUGCCUUCGAUACUGGUUGGCUUGAGACCGGAAGAGGUAAGUGGAACUGCGAGUGUAGAGGUGAAAUUCGUAGAUAUUCGCAAGAACACCAGUGGCGAAGGCGGCUUACUGGUCCGGUUCUGACGCUGAGGUGCGAAAGCGUGGGGAGCAAACAGG